AUUGAACGCUGGCGGCAUGCCUUACACAUGCAAGUCGAACGGCAGCACGGGAGCUUGCUCCUGGUGGCGAGUGGCGAACGGGUGAGUAAUACAUCGGAACGUACCCUGAAGUGGGGGAUAACGUAGCGAAAGUUACGCUAAUACCGCAUAUUCUGUGAGCAGGAAAGAGGGGGAUCGCAAGACCUCUUGCUUUAGGAGCGGCCGAUGUCGGAUUAGCUAGUUGGUGAGGUAAAGGCUCACCAAGGCGACGAUCCGUAGCGGGUCUGAGAGGAUGAUCCGCCACACUGGGACUGAGACACGGCCCAGACUCCUACGGGAGGCAGCAGUGGGGAAUUUUGGACAAUGGGCGCAAGCCUGAUCCAGCCAUUCCGCGUGAGUGAAGAAGGCCU
rnacentral:rRNA from 1 species